UGGGCAGGAGUGUUGGAGGCAGCCAGGUCGGAGCAACGGCAGGUGCCGGGGAGGAGCGUGUCCUGGGCCCCUGCUGUGGGUGCACCUCCAGUCACUGGCCUCCCCAGGUGGGAUGGUAGCGGGGAAAGGAGGGAAGGAGACCCGGCGUGCGCUGGGAGGCCGGCAGGGCCCCGCCCGCAACCAACCUCGCACCCAGUUGCCCACCCAAAGAGAGGACCCAGGCGUCUACUCGCCCUGCAGCAGCCCAGCCAAUGAGAAGCCGCCUCUCGGGUGUCGUCCAAUGGGCUCCCGUCGGGGACAGCCCCCCCCCCCCCGCCGCCGCCCCGCCCUAUAUAAGCAGGCUCCGCCCCUUGGCUCUCAGAGUGUUUGCUGUUCCGGCGCAGGUGUGGGUCCUCGUUGCCGAGUCCACCCCAGCGAGCUCGCUUCGCCUCUGGGAAAACCGGCUGCUUUAUUUUUAAGGUUAGCCGUCAUUCUUGUCCUCAUCUGAGGAAUGGACUCUGGAAGGCGCCACAUGAUCCCGUGCGGAGCUCUGGAGAGUUGCUGCAGUCCCCCUGACCGCAGUGCUGCUGGUCUGGGGCUCGCUGUGGCUCUGCUGAGCGGCGGACCCAACGAUCCCACCAGGACGGGCCCCGAGGACAUGCGUUGGCCAGCCCCGCAUCAGCGCGCGGGAUGGCAGCCUUGCUGCCCAUGGCAAGAGUUUGCCUCUUGACCUUACAUGUGUUACGUGAACCACAUAAUGGCUUCCAGGCGUCCUGAGGCGUCCUGAGCCGUCCUGAGCCGUCCCACCGCCGCAGUUUGCCCAGGGCUGUGCUGAGACCCAGACCGCAGCCUCUCCCACCCCCUCUAUCAAGCCUUCCCUUCCCGGCUGCUGCUCAGAAGCCCAUCUGGGGUCUGGGGUCACGACUCCUCCGAGGGCCCAUUGCCUCCUCCCAGGGCCCAUUGCCUCCUCCCCACAGGGGACAGUCUGGACCAGCGGUGAUGACCACGUACAUACAUCCCCAGCUCUGGGGCAGCCUCUACCUGUCCCCGUGAGGGCUGCCAAGACACGUGUGUGCCCCAGGGCCACCAGCUCUGCAGGGAGGCUGGGGCCCUGGGUCUACCCUGGAGCCAGGCCGGAAGGCUCCUCUGACCGCCCCCGGUGACCCUGGUCUCUGCCCGCAGGUGGCCGGGCCCCCCACCCCCACCCCAGCAGCUCCCUUUCCCCAGCAUGGCAGCGAGGAUGACCUCUGCCCCAUCAGCUGAGAUGUGGUGCCAAGGGGGUGCCCUCCGGACAGGGAUCGGGCUGAGAUGCUGAGGGCUCCUCCUUCACCGCCACCCAACCCCGUCCCAGUCACUGCCCACAUCCCCCAGGCAGCUGCUCCCUCCCAGCCCUUCUGCAAACCACACUCUGCUGACUCAGGGCUGCACAAGGCCAAGGUGUGGGGUCAGGCCCCAGCCAGUUGCCCCAGGCCCAAGGAGCGACCAGCGAGGAAGGGGUGGGGGGCAUCCCUGACUCCACGCUGCAUCUGGGGCUGCUGAGUAUGUGAGCAAGGAGCUCGUGGGCAUGGAACUGGCAUCAUGUCCCUGACAGGUCAGGGGUGGGGAAAGGAAGCCCUUGGCGAACGCCUGUCUUUAUUCCAACAUGCUGAGAAGGCUCAUCGUGGAGCAGAGCGGCCAGCGGGCAUGGCCCUGGGAGCCUGGAGGCCAGGAGGAGAGCGGGCACCACGCAAGGAAGAGGGAACACAGCUGCCCCCCCCCCAGAUGGUGGCGUUGAGGGACGUCCCCAGCUGAGGCGGCAGUAGCUCCUGCCCACCCCUGCUGCCCACCAAGGCUGCAUUCGAGGAGGAAGCGGCAUCGAGGAGGAGGCAGAAGACAAGGAGCAUACACAGGCCUCCAGGCCCCUGGGAGCCCCUUCGGGCAGACCUGCUUUCAAAGCCCAACUUCCAGCAAGAUCAGGACCCCAGGGGGUUGCCCCAAAGAGCACCUUUAUUCACAGCAAAGGACGUCACCAUGGCAACCACACUUCAAUUCCCUGAGAACUUUUCCAUUAUCCGUCGCUUUCCAAGCUCUGUCUUUGCAGAAAGAAAAACAGAAGACAAAACACAUGCCACGGGCCCGGUGGGCCACACUGGGCCUGCGGAAGACAGGUAACGCGCAGGACGGGGCACGGGCAGUCCGCACGCAGGGACACAUAAAUACGCUUGGGGGCUAGGCCUUUCCACCGCUUUGAACAACAAAGAUUAUCUCAAGUUUGGCUUCUGCUUUUUCUGAUCCACAGAAAAGAUAAAAUAACACCCGCCCUGCCCCACCCCACCCCCCGAAAAACAGACAAAAACACCCUUUUAUACCCACCCCCUUA